UACAGAGGGUGCGAGCGUUGCUCGGAAUGACUGGGCGUAAAGGGCGCGUAGGCGGAUGGCACAGUCAGAUGUGAAAUUCCCGGGCUUAACCUGGGGGCUGCAUUUGAUACGUGUGAUCUAGAGUGAGGAAGAGGGUCGUGGAAUUCCCAGUGUAGAGGUGAAAUUCGUAGAUAUUGGGAAGAACACCGGUGGCGAAGGCGGCGACCUGGUCCUUGACUGACGCUGAGGCGCGAAAGCGUGGGGAGCAAACAGG
rnacentral:rRNA from 1 species